rnacentral:rRNA from 1 species
CUUUUGACGGUGGAUCUCUUGGCUCACGCAUCGAUGAAGAACGCAGCCAGCUGCGAUAAGUAGUGUGAAUUGUAGAAUUCAGUGAAUCAUCGAAUCUUUGAACGCAAAUGGCGCUCUUGGGUUCUCCCAGGAGCAUGUCUGUCUGAGUGUC